UGUUGUAAGUGUUAAUUGCGUGCAUGAUUUUUCAUCUGCAUUUACUUUGGGAGUCUAUGGUAUACCGUUUUGGCCUACCCAAAUGACGCACCAGUCGAUCGCUUAUGUAAUGUGCUCUUGACGACUCAAGUGUUGUCUUUGUCACGGUAAACAAUUAGUAGGUUUCUCGCGCUUCCCGCCUCAUCAAAAUGUGCUACCCUAUAAAAUACUGGACAGGACAACGAUAUUUUUAGAAGACAAAUAGCCUGUGGUUCCAACCGAAUAAACUGUGUUACCGUCUGGAUAAAAUACAGUGCCCCGACAGGAGGAAUAUGCGGAGCCGGCCAUUUCAACACAGUCCUUGCAACCUAAUGUGCCAGUGCCACCCAGAAGACUAACACCCCAUCCCUGUCCCUCAGUGUCCAAACUUUGCCCUCCCUAGACUACGGAGGUCCCAACGGGUUGUCAACCUAAAUUCAGGGUCAGUCUCUCAUUCCCCCAGGACGAAGACGCGCAGCACCCUCCGCUGGACUGGUGUUGGUAAACGAGACCAGACCUACUGAGAAGACACCCCGGUAUAAGCGAAGGAGACGGAACAGGACCAGGGGUAGACCUACAGCACAUUCAAGGCAAGGACAGAGACAGUCCAGCUCACCUGCCGCUCCUGAGGCUCCACAGUCACAGUCAGUGGACACGAAUGGACAUUAACCUACUUUGAGUAACGACCCAGCUCCAGGCCAACACUGUGCUGCAACUAGCCUGGCAUAUCCAACACCUUAUUCUGUCAGUGGACAACAGAACAACACAUUGAGCGAACUCCUAGUAAUCAGGACUGAAAUGGUGGAGAUAUCUCCAUUUAAAGCAAUUGAAAUGUUUGCUUGUUAGCAAUACUUUACUCUACACUACAUGAUUAAUCAUAUCAAGUAUUCCAUAAAAUCCGAUUUUGUGUAUUAAUGUGUGUGUGUGGGGUGGGGUGAAAAACAUUUUCUGGGGACUGUAAUUUUUCCUGAUCUGGUAUGAAACUAGGUAAAACUCCGGACCUAAUUUGGUAUGACAUGAUUCAUCUGUUGUAAAAAAUAAAUAAAUAAAGGUU